CUUCACCAGUGUCUUGAUGGAUAAUUCAUCUAUAACAGAUUCAUUGAGCAACUAGCUGCCUCACAGUUGUAUAUACUGACAUUUCUUUGCAGUGAUCCUACAAGUAUAUUUCUUAAUAUUAUUUCUACUUUGCUUCUCUUUUCUAUGUCAUCAAAAUCCUCUUAGCAUAUUCCUAAUUGUGUUAAGGCAUUGGAAAAGUGUUAUCAAUAAAUUACUGACCACACUCCUAUGUUUUAAGAUUUUUUUUCCGUUAGAAAGAUGAUCUCUUGUGCUAUAGUGAGGAGCAGUACAAAGAAAAAAAUAUGUUGUGUAUAAUAGAUCUGACUGAAGGGAAGUAGCAAAUGCUUAAUUUAACUUAAAUGGCUUAUAUGCGAUUUGGAAGGUAGGAUAUUUCUAGUAUAGAGCAAUCUCUUGGGCAGUAAUAGAUAAAUAGGAUGGAUUGAUGAAUAGAUAGAUAGAUAAAUAGAUAAGCAAGCCAAACCCUUAUAAUUUCUAUAUUUCAAAGUUAAAGGGUGUUAAAAGAGGCAAUUAAUUGAAUAAGUGUUGUAGCCUAAAAAGAAAUAUCUUCUUUACAGCUGAUUCUAUCAAAUUUAGUGAUACUGAGAAGUUUUAAGAUCUAGGGUUAGUAAUUUAAUAGGUAAUAAGAACUUUAAAAGUAAUAAAGAAGUGAUAGGUAGUGAUUUUUAGGAGCCCAAAUGAAUGAUCAAGAGUAAAAGAAUUCCAGCACCACCAAUAAUACUUAGAGAUCCAGUAGAAUUCCUUUUAAUGCCAAAACAUUUUCCUCUUAAUAAAGUCUAUUUUAAGCACAAUUGGGAAUAUUUCAAUUAGCAUGUAAUUGCCAUACUCAGUUUGUUGUAGAAACUUGGUUUGAAAAGAUUUAAAUAUUUUCUUUUUAGUUGUGGUUGGACACAAUACCUUUAUUUUAUUUAUUUAUUUUUAUGUGGUGCUGAGGAUGGAACCCAGUGCCUUGCAUGUUCUAGGCAAACACUCUACAGCUGAGCCACAACCUUAGCCCCUUUACAAAUUUUUCGACAGAUAAAAUUAUCCCACACUUUAC
rnacentral:lncRNA from 1 species